GAGACGGAGUUGCGCUGUCACCAGGCUGGAGUGUAGUGGUGCGAUCUCAGCUCGCUGCAACCUUGGCCUCCUGGGUUCAAGCGAUUCUCCUGCCUCAGCCUCCUGAGUAGCUGGGACUACAGGUGUGUGCCACUGUGCCCAGCUAAUUUUUGUAUUUUUAGUAGAGAUGGGCUUUCGCCAUGUUGGCAAGGAUGGUCUUGAUCUCUUGACCCUGUGAUCCACCCACCUCAGCCUCCCAAAGUCCUGGAAUUACAGGCGUGAGCCACCGUGCGCAGCCUUGGACCUCUUUUGUUCCUAAGUAUUUUUUAUAUGUUUGAUGCUAUUGUAAAAUGAAGUUUUAACAUUUCUUUCUUUUUUUUUUUUUUUUUUUUGAGACAGAAUCUUGCCCUGUCGCCAGGCUGGAGUGCAAUGGUGCAAUCUUGACUCACUGCAACCUCCGCCUCCCGGGUUCAAACGAUACUCCUGCCUCAGCCUCCAAAGUAGCUGGGACUACAGGCGCACACCCAGCGAAUUUUUCUAUUUUUAAUAGAGACAGGGUUUCACCAUAUUGGCCAGAUGGUCUCGAUCUCUUCACCUCCUGAUCCACCCUCAGCCUCCCAAAGUGCUGGGAUUUCGGGGGUGAGCCACCAUGCCCGGACUAAAAAUAAUUUUUUUUUUGAGACAGAGUCUUGCUCUGCAACCCAGGUUGGAGUGCAGUGCCAGCAUAAUCUUGGUUCACUGCAACCUCUGCCUCCUGGGUCCUGGUUAAGCAAUUCUUCACCUUAGCCUCCGGAGUAGCUGAGAUUACAGGUGCAUACCACCAUGCCCAGCUAACUUUUGUAUUUUUAGUAGAGACGGGGUUCCACCAUGUUGGCCGGGCUGGUCUUGAACUCUUGACCUCGUGAUCCACCCACCUGGGCCUCCCAAAGUGGUAGGAUUACAGGCGUGAGCUACCAUAAAUUUUUUUUUGAGACGCAGCCUCUUUCUGUUGCCCAGGCUAGAGUGCAAUGGUGUAAUCUUGGCUCACUGUAACCUCAGCCUCCCGGAUUCAAGCGAUUCCCCUGCCUCAACGUCUGAGUAGCUUGGGAUUACUGGUGCGUGCCACCACACCCAGCUAAUUUUUGUAUUUUUAGUAGUGACAGGGUUUCACCAUGUUGGCCAGGCUGGUCUUGAACUCCUGAUACCAAGUGAUCAGCCCGCCUCAGCUUCCCAAAGUGCUGGGAUUACAAGUGCAAGCCACCGCACCCAGCCUAUUUAAAACAUUUUUAAUUAAAAAUUUUGGGCCAGGCACGGUGGCUCACGCCUGUAAUCCCAGCACUUUGGGAGGCCGAGAAUGUUUUUAAUUUCAUUUUUGGGUUGUUCAUUGCCAGUGUACAGAAAUACAAGUAAGAGGUUUUUGUGUGUUGAUCAUAGACGCUAAUUUUGUGGAAUGUGUUAGCUCUAAUAAGUUUGUGUGUGUGUGUGUGUGUGUGUGUGUUCUUCAGGAUUUUAUAUCUACAAAAUCACAUCAUCUGUGAAUAGAUACAGUUUUACUUCUUUGAUUACUGUCUUCCAGUACAGUGCUGACAUUGUUGUAACACUUUUCUUUUCUUUUAUUCUUUUCUUUUUUUUAUUUUUUUGAGACAGGGUCUUGCUCUGUUGCCCAGACUGGAGUGCAAUGGCACAACCAUAGCUCACUGCAGCGUCAAUCCCCUAGGCUUAAGUGAUCCUCCCAUCUCAGCCUCCUGAGUAGCUGGGACUACAGGCAUGCACCACCACGCCCUGCUAAUUUUUGUAUAUUUUGUAGAGACAGG
rnacentral:lncRNA from 1 species